YGAGAUUCCUACGGGAGGCAGCAGUGGGGAAUUUUCCGCAAUGGACGAAAGUCUGACGGAGCGACGCUGCGUGAAGGAUGACGGCCUGCGGGUUGUAAACUUCUUUUCUCGAAGAAGAAGCUCUGACGGUAUUCGAGGAAUAAGCAUCGGCUAACUCUGUGCCAGCAGCCGCGGUAAUACGGAGGAUGCAAGUGUUAUUCGGAAUGAUUGGGCGUAAAGCGUCUGAAGGCUGUAUAGAAAGUCUUUUGUUAAAUGCCUCGGCUCAACCGAGAUCCAGCAAAGGAAACUUCUAUACUUGAGGGAAGUAGAGGUACAGGUAAUUCCCGGUGGAGCGGUGAAAUGCGUAGAUAUCGGGAGGAACACCAAUAUGGCGAAGGCACUGUACUGGGCUUUACCUGACGCUCAGAGACGAAAGCUAAAGGAGUGAUUAGGAUUAGAUACCCUAGUAAUUUUAGCCGUAAACGAUGGAAACUCACUGCCGAGCGAAAUACAACGAGCGGUGGUCAAGCUAACGCGUGAAGUUUCCCGCCUGGGGAUUACGCUUGCAAAAGUGAAACUCAAAGGAAUUGACGGAAU
rnacentral:rRNA from 1 species